CUACGGAACUCCUACGGGAGGCAGCAGUGGGGAAUAUUGCACAAUGGGCGGAAGCCUGAUGCAGCGACGCCGCGUGGGGGAUGACGGUCUUCGGAUUGUAAACCCCUUUCAGUAGGGACGAAGCGAGAGUGACGGUACCUGCAGAAGAAGCACCGGCCAACUACGUGCCAGCAGCCGCGGUAAUACGUAGGGUGCGAGCGUUGUCCGGAAUUACUGGGCGUAAAGAGCUCGUAGGCGGUUUGUCGCGUCGUCUGUGAAAUCCUCCAGCUUAACUGGGGGCGUGCAGGCGAUACGGGCAGACUUGAGUACUACAGGGGAGACUGGAAUUCCUGGUGUAGCGGUGAAAUGCGCAGAUAUCAGGAGGAACACCGGUGGCGAAGGUGGGUCUCUGGGUAGUAACUGACGCUGAGGAGCGAAAGCAUGGGUAGCGAACAGGAUUAGAUACCCGAGUAGUCCUCUUCGA
rnacentral:rRNA from 1 species